rnacentral:rRNA from 1 species
GAUGAACGCUAGCGGCAGGCUUAACACAUGCAAGUCGAGGGGCAGCGCGAUGUAGCAAUACAUUGGCGGCGACCGGCGCACGGGUGCGUAACACGUAUGGAAUCUGCCCUGUACUGGAAGAUAACCCGGCGAAAGUCGGACUAAUAUCCCAUAAUAGCCGAGGUGGCAUCACCUUGGUUUGAAAGCUCCGGCGGUACAGGAUGACCAUGCGCACGAUUAGCUAGUUGGUGAGGUAACGGCUCACCAAGGCUACGAUCGUUAGGGGGCCUGAGAGGGUUAUCCCCCACACUGGUACUGAGACACGGACCAGACUCCUACGGGAGGCAGCAGUGAGGAAUAUUGCGCAAUGGAGGCAACUCUGACGCAGCCAUGCCGCGUGCAGGAAGAAGGCGCUACGCGUUGUAAACUGCUUUUAUCCGGGAAGAAACCCCAGGACGUGUCCUGGGUUGACGGUACCGGAGGAAUAAGCACCGGCUAACUUCGUGCCAGCAG